rnacentral:sRNA from 1 species
CAAUGAUCUCAUCAUCUCGAUGGGCAUCUGGCUGGUAUCGAUAAACUGAGUCACUAAUGCCAACAACUCGGCACGCUCUGCGCAGGCUAACAUUGUGCUCUUGUUUCACGUAGUCAACUAGCUCACGGCGUACCGAUGGCCUU